CUAAAAGUUCAAGAAGCAAACCUUAUUAGCCCCAGUGCUACAAAUCGAAUAAUAAUUUGAAUCAUUUAUACUUCGCAAUUUGCAUUGUAGCAGAGCAGACCACAGAAUAUCAGCAUACAAGCAUUGACUUCACACUAAUUAAGUAACUUAAUGCAACACUAAAAUGUAUUCAGGAUCGCACAGUAAGCAUUGAUUGCUAUUCAGCCAAACAUUUAGUUAAUAGAUGCUAACUAUUUUGAUUGCAGACUCAACAAACAUAUAUACAUCAAGCACAGUAAGUAUUGAUUGCUAUUCAGCCAAACAUUUAGUUAAUUGAUGCUAACUAUUUUGAUUGCAGACUCAACAAACAUAUACACAUCAACCAUAUGCAGUAGACUGGCCAACUAAAGUCAAGACCAUAUAGGGUGCACUAAUUAUAAUACAGAAAAGUCAAGAAUUAAUUUGAUCCGUUUAUUACUAAUAAUCAUGUUUGUGUUCCAAAAUUUAUUAUGUAUAACAUGAUAUAAAGAUCUAAUAUUAGUUAUGCGGAGCUUAAAGCCAUGAUUUUUUAAUAAUACAGAAAACCGGAUGAGAUCUAACAAUUACGAAUUUAGUUCGUUUACAUGAAUAAACUUCCAAUUUCAUCACAUGCCACACCAGACGAACAAAAGCACAAAAUGCAACGUAUAUUUCCGUGAGAAAAG
rnacentral:lncRNA from 1 species